GGGUGCGAUCAUACCUGCACUAAUGCACCGGAUCCCAUCAGAACUCCGAAGUUAAGCGUGCUUGUCCGAGAGCAGUACUAGGAUGGGUGCCCCCUGGGAAUUCCUAGUGUUGCACCCC